rnacentral:rRNA from 1 species
UCCUUGGGUGGCGAGUGCCGGACGGCUGACGAAAACGUCGGAAUCUGCCUAUUUGUGGGGGAUAACGUAGGGAAACUUACGCUAAUACCGCAUACGACCUACGGGUGAAAGCGGAGGACCUUCGGGCUUCGCGCAGAUAGAUGAGCCGACGUCGGAUUAGCUAGUUGGCGGGGUAAAGGCCCACCAAGGCGACGAUCCGUAGCUGGUCUGAGAGGAUGAUCAGCCACACUGGAACUGAGACACGGUCCAGACUCCUACGGGAGGCAGCAGUGGGGAAUAUUGGACAAUGGGCGCAAGCCUGAUCCAGCCAUGCCGCGUGUGUGAAGAAGGCCUUCGGGUUGUAAAGCACUUUUGUCCGGAAAGAAAAGCACUGGGUUAAUACCCUGGUGUCAUGACGGUACCGGAAGAAUAAGCACCGGCUAACUUCGUGCCAGCAGCCGCGGUAAUACGAAGGGUGCAAGCGUUACUCGGAAUUACUGGGCGUAAAGCGUGCGUAGGCGGUUUGUUAAGUCUGAUGUGAAAGCCCCGGGCUCAACCUGGGAAUGGCAUUGGAUACUGGCAAUCUAGAAUGUGGUAGAGGGUGGCGGAAUUCCCGGUGUAGCAGUGAAAUGCGUAGAUAUCGGGAGGAACAUCCGUGGCGAAGGCGGCCACCUGGACCAACAUUGACGCUGAGGCACGAAAGCGUGGGGAGCAAACAGGAUUAG